UGUGUGUGUGUGUGUGUGUGUGUGUGUGUGUGUGUGUGCGUGUGCGUGUGCCGCUCUGGUUUUUGAUCUGAGUGCCGGCGUUUAUUUCACAUGCAAAUGAUUCAAAGUGCGUCUCCGUCUCCUCGUGCAGCUGCAGCAGAGAGAGGCCUUUUUAUCUCGCCGUCACCGAACCCUUUGGCCUCUCGGACUCUGAAAGCGAGUCGGUUCCAACGAACCCGGCGAGGACGCCGUCCCGCUCGCGCCGUCUUUUUUUCUUUUUUUUUGUGGCGUUCCACCUGAGCGGAGGUCGCUGGAGGACGUUCCCGGGUUUUUGACCGCGUUCCUUCCGUCUGUUCCGCGCAUUCGUGGAACAUCUCCUUUAGUCUGCAGGGACGACAUUCUCUUGCCGGGCCGCGGCGGGCCGAACGCUGGCUGCUGAUUGGCUGAGCCCCGCGACGCUGGUCUCUUGUUAUCUUGGUCGGAUUUGUGGCCUCUUCCGCUUCCCUCCCUCGUCCUCUAUGAAAAAGACCGUUUGUCUCCUGGCUCUUCCGUCUUAUCUGGAGUUCUUUUAACAAAAGACUGUCGAGUGAAAUUAAAGCUUCAUGUGUUAAAGCUGCAUUCUCUGUACUGACCAGCAGGGGGCGACUCCAUAAGGUGCCAUAGAAGUCUAUGAGAAAACAUGUCUACUUCUCUCUUUAUUUAUUCCCUCAGUAAACAUUGCUAAUAUGAGGUUGUGGUCCCAAUACACCAUUAGUAUGAGGUCAAAAAAGGAAAAAAGGUAGAAAAAUAUUUCUAAAUAUAUUGUAUCGAAAAAUGUCAUGCAAAGAAAACAACAAAAUAUAAAAAAACGCUUUGAAAAAGUCAGUUAUUUCGAAAAAAUAUUAAAAAAAAAAUUAGGGUAAUAAAAGCCAAAAAAUAUUUCCGGUCCAAAAAUGUUUUGAAUAAAAAGUCAAAAUAUGUUAUUUCGAAAAAGUAUCAUGGAAAAUAUAUCAUCAAAAGAUAUUUUUCCAGUCAAAAAAUGUCAUUUAAAAAAAAGUUUAAAAACAAUUCUUGAUAAAAAAACAAAAUGUAUUUGUUUGAGAAAGUUGGGUAAAAAGUGUCCAAAAAUAUUAGUCCGAAAAAUAUUAUGGAAAAAAGUAAGAAAUAUACGUAGGUUCAUGCAGAAGAAGAAGAUUAAAAUUGUUCGCGUGUUGAACAAUGUUUUCACAACCUGACCUAAUAACUCUUAAAUUAAGAUAACUCUGAAUGAACUAACCCUUUUAUGGCUCACGGUACAAACGAAGGCGAAAUGGAAGGAAACUGGGUGCUUUGAUGCCAUAACAUCUGAAAUAAUAUCCUCCACGCGACUUUGGCUCCUCUGCUGUCUCGCUGGUGAAAUGUAAUUGGAUUAGUUUUGACUUGAAA
ensembl:lncRNA